AAGGAGAGACAAAGUAGACAAGUGAAGCCCAUUCUUGUCCCCUUCCUCUUCAGUCUGAGCUCCUGGAAGAUGAACUGAGUUCAUCUGCAUCUCGUUACUGGGCCUCAAGAAAUAGCAGCCCAACCUUCAGUUUGACCUGGGAACAAAACGUGGCAAGCCAGCCAGGAGAGACCGGGAUGGUGCUGUGUUCAGCCACCAGUGGCUUGCGAUGAGACAGUCUUCAGGAGGGUCCAAGCAGCUGCCCGUGAGAUUUUUCCUGGGGACCCUCCCGAGGGCUGUCCCGUGUGCAAAACUGCACGUCCCUUUCACUACUGGGGAAGAACAGAGAUCAGAAGCAGACACGCUCAAAGGGUGCUGCCUCCAAGGCCCCGAAACAGAGAGUGCUACUGCGAACAAAUCAACCUCUUCCACUCCACUGCUGCUUUUGGUGCCCCAUAACGACGACCCCCUCUCAGCAGGAAGUAGCCAGAAAGAUUACGACUCCCCAUCUCCCUGCGAUUCUCAUGAUAAAUAAAUAUCCAUGCAUGAUAAAAAUCGUGUAAAUUGACAGUGGGGACUGUGACAAGCAGGUCUCACUAAUGCAGACCUCCAUAACAACUGUUUCAGUACUGACUGAGUGGUUAAGUUAAAUGUUAAAAACCAGUGCCCUUAUACAAAGGCUGGAAUGUAACAAAAGCCCACCAAGAGUUUUGCCUAGGCCUUUCCUGAACCUCAAAGCAUGAUUAAACAAGUUUUGCUGGGGGUCUGAAGAAACUCCCCAAACCUCCGUUAUUUAGCAGGAGAUAAGAGAAGGGUAAUCACCCCAGCACUUGGACCCAUUUAGAUUAAGUAAACUUACUGAGGCUCCAGAAGAAGGUCUUCA
rnacentral:lncRNA from 1 species